rnacentral:rRNA from 1 species
ACGGAGGAUGCGAGCGUUAUCCGGAUUUAUUGGGUUUAAAGGGUGCGUAGGCGGAUAGAUAAGUCAGUGGUGAAAACCUGCAGCUUAACUGUAGACUUGCCGUUGAUACUGUCAGUCUUGAGUAUGGUCAAGGUAGGCGGAAUGUGUAAUGUAGCGGUGAAAUGCUUAGAUAUUACACAGAACACCGAUUGCGAAGGCAGCUUGCUGGGCCAUUACUGACGCUGAUGCACGAAAGCGUGGGGAUCGAACAG